AUACGGAGGGUCCAAGCGUUAUCCGGAUUCAUUGGGUUUAAAGGGUCCGCAGGCGGGGAAAUAAGUCAGUGGUGAAAGCCUACAGCUCAACUGUAGAACUGCCAUUGAUACUGUUUUUCUUGAGUAUAGAUGAAGUGGGCGGAAUAUAUCAUGUAGCGGUGAAAUGCAUAGAUACGAUAUAGAACACCGAUUGCGAAGGCAGCUCACUAAACUAUUACUGACGCUCAGGGACGAAAGCGUGGGGAGCGAACAGGAUUAGAAACCCCAGUAGUCC
rnacentral:rRNA from 1 species